rnacentral:sRNA from 1 species
UUCUAAAGAAUACAAGAAGAAUGGGA